rnacentral:lncRNA from 1 species
GGUUCAGGCACUUCUUGUUUUUUUUUUUCUUUUUUUUUAGCAGGACCAACCUCGAUUCCUCUCUUACUUAUAAUAAACCCCCAGCAGCUUACCGGCCCGCACUCUGAUAGUGCACUUAUUUGAAUUCAACCUCAGUUUGAAUUGUCUCAACUGGUCUACUCAGCUUGGCCAGAUCCACCAGAUGCCCCUCUUCUGUUUGGGACUUUG